GACCCGACUGCUAUUUGGGUGAGAAUAAGCCAUGCGAGUUGAAUGGGAUACCUAAAGUUCCCAUAGCAAACUGCUCAGUAACACAUGAUCAACUUACCCUAUAGAGAAAAAUAACCUCGGGAAACUGAGGAUAAUGUUUCAUAAUUGAAUUGGCUUGGAAAAGUUUUUCAAUGAAAAGGAUAAAAAAAAUGGUUUUUAUCUGCUAUAGGAUAGGAUCGUGUUCGAUUAUGGUUGUUGGUGAGAUAAUGGCUCACCAAGCCGAUAAUCGAUAGGGGCCGUGAGAGCGGGAGCCCCGAGAUGGGUACUGAGACAACGACCCAGGCCUUACGAGGCGCAGCAGGCGCGGAACCUCCGCAAUACACGAAAGUGUGACGGGGUUACCCAAAGUGUUCAAUUUGAACUGUGGUAGGUGAGUAAUGUCCCCUACUAGAAAGGAGAGGGCAAGGCUGGUGCCAGCCGCCGCGGUAAAACCAGCUCUUCAAGUGGUCGGGAUAAUUAUUGGGCUUAAAGUGUCCGUAGCCGGUUUAGUAAGUUCCUGGUAAAAUCGGGUAGCUUAACUAUCUGCAUGCUAGGAAUACUGCUAUACUAGAGGGCGGGAGAGGUCUGAGGUACUACAGGGGUAGGGGUGAAAUCUUAUAAUCCUUGUAGGACCACCAGUGGCGAANGCGUCAGACUGGAACGCGCCUGACGGUG
rnacentral:rRNA from 1 species